GCUCUUUUGUCAGGGAAGAAACAGCAGCUCUAACACAGUCUGCGAAUGACGGUACCUGAAGAAUAAGCACCGGCUAACUACGUGCCAGCAGCCGCGGUAAUACGUAGGGUGCGAGCGUUAAUCGGAAUUACUGGGCGUAAAGCGUGCGCAGGCGGUUAUACAAGACAGGCGUGAAAUCCCCGGGCUUAACCUGGGAAUGGCGUCUGUGACUGUAUAGCU
rnacentral:rRNA from 1 species